ACAUAUGCUUAAGCUUGUGUAAACUCCUGAGCAUUAAGCUCAUAAAACUUAAAAGCUCCUUUCGCAUAGCCAUUUUUUGUAAAGAUUGAUAAUCCUUGGUAUGAGGUAGCUCCAUCAUCAUUUCGUGGGGCUAGAUUAAAUUUUGCUUCAAUACUAUUCAAAUACCUAGAACAGAAUGUAAGGCAUUCGUUUGUAAGAUAACCUCUUGCAAUUGACCCCUCU
rnacentral:lncRNA from 1 species